UACGUAGGGUGCAAGCGUUAAUCGGAAUUACUGGGCGUAAAGCGUGCGCAGGCGGUUAUAUAAGACAGAUGUGAAAUCCCCGGGCUCAACCUGGGAACUGCAUUUGUGACUGCAAGGCUAGAGUACGGCAGAGGGGGAUGGAAUUCCGCGUGUAGCAGUGAAAUGCGUAGAUAUGCGGAGGAACACCGAUGGCGAAGGCAAUCCCCUGGGCAUGCACUGACGCUCAUGCACGAAAGCGUGGGGAGCAAACAGG
rnacentral:rRNA from 1 species